UAUUGCACAAUGGGGGAAACCCUGAUGCAGCGACGCCGCGUGAGCGAUGAAGUAUUUCGGUAUGUAAAGCUCUAUCAGCAGGGAAGAAAAUGACGGUACCUGACUAAGAAGCCCCGGCUAACUACGUGCUAGCAGCCGCGGUAAUACGUAGGGGGCAAGCGUUAUCCGGAUUUACUGGGUGUAAAGGGAGCGUAGACGGCUGCGCAAGUCUGAAGUGAAAGCCCGGGGCUCAACCCCGGGACUGCUUUGGAAACUGUGCUGCUAGAGUGCUGGAGAGGCAAGCGGAAUUCCUAGUGUAGCGGUGAAAUGCGUAGAUAUUAGGAAGAACACCAGUGGCGAAGGCGGCUUGCUGGACAGUAACUGACGUUGAGGCUCGAAAGCGUGGGGAGCA
rnacentral:rRNA from 1 species